rnacentral:rRNA from 1 species
GUCUACGGCCAUACCACCCUGAACGCGCCCAAUCUCGUCUGAUCUCGGAAGCUAAGCAGGGUCGGGCCUGGUUAGUACUUGGAUGGGAGACA